CUUGGUCAUUUAGAGGAAGUAAAAGUCGUAACAAGGUUUCCGUAGGUGAACCCGCGGAGGAUCAUUACCUAGAGUUGGCGACUUCGUCCGUAUCUCUACCCACGUCUUUCGAGUACUUACGUUUCCUCGGUGGGUUCGCCCGCCGAUCGGACAAUUUAAACCAUUCGCAGUCGCAAUCAGCGUCUGAAAAACAUAAUAAUUACAACUUUCAACAACGGAUCUCUUGGUUCUGGCAUCGAUGAAGAACGCAGCGAAAUGCGAUAAGUAGUGUGAAUUGCAGAAUUCAGUGGAUCAUCGAAUCUUUGAACGCACAUUGCGCCCCUUGGUAUCCCAUGGGGCAUGCCUGUUCGAGCGUCAUUUGUACCUUCAAGCUUUGCUUGGUGUUGGGUGUUUGUCUCGCCUUUGCGUGUAGACUCGCCUCAAAACAAUUGGCAGCCGGCGUAUUGAUUUCGGAGCGCAGUACAUCUCGCGCUUUGCACUCAUAACGACGACGUCCAAAAGUACAUUUUACACUCUUGACCUCGGAUCAGGUAGGGAUACCCGCUGAACUUAAGCAUAUCAAUAAGCGGAGGA
rnacentral:rRNA from 1 species